UACAGGGGGUGCAAACGUUGCUCGGAAUUAUUGGGCGUAAAGCGCGCGUAGGCGGCUACCUAAGUCGGAUGUGAAAGCCCCUGGCUUAACCGGGGAAGUGCACCCGAAACUGGGUGAGCUAGAGUGCAAAAGAGGGUCGCGGAAUUCCCAGUGUAGAGGUGAAAUUCGUAGAUAUUGGGAGGAACACCGGUGGCGAAGGCGGCGACCUGGGUUGACACUGACGCUGAGGCGCGAAAGCGUGGGGGAGCAAACAGG
rnacentral:rRNA from 1 species